CUCAUAAAAGCCUUCAUCAUUUUAAAUGUAUUUAAACAUAUGAAUAUUUGAACAAUACUGAGACAUGGAGAUACUACAACAAUAGAUGCACCAAAAUUAACAUUUUGGCCAAAACAAGUUUUAAUAUUCUUACCAUUGCUUAAAUUAAACCACAUAAAUGUAUUUUUUCUCGGUUUUCAAAGAAAAGCAAACCAACAAAGCACAAUUUGACUUAGUAAUCUAGCCAUAAUGUAUUCUAAUUC